ensembl:snRNA U6 U6 spliceosomal RNA
UUAAUUGUCAGAUCCAGUAUACUAAAAUUGGAAUGAUACAGAGAAGAUUAGUAUGGUCCCUGAGCAAGGAUGACACAGUAAAUUCGUGAAGCAUUCUAUAUUUUU